rnacentral:rRNA from 1 species
UACGUAGGUGGCAAGCGUUGUCCGGAUUUACUGGGCGUAAAGAGCGCGCAGGCGGUUGGAUAAGUCGAAUGUGAAAGCCCCCGGCUCAACUGGGGAGGGUCACGCGAUACUGAUCGACUCGAAGGCAGGAGAGGGUAGUGGAAUUCCCGGUGUAGUGGUGAAAUGCGUAGAUAUCGGGAGGAACACCAGUGGCGAAGGCGACUACCUGGCCUGUUCUUGACGCUGAGGCGCGAAAGCUAGGGGAGCAAACGGG